rnacentral:rRNA from 1 species
CAGUAGCCGCGGUAAUACGUAGGGUGCGAGCGUUAAUCGGAAUUACUGGGCGCAAAGCGUGCGCAGGCGGUUCGUUAAGACAGAUGUGAAAUCCCCGGGCUUAACCUGGGAACUGCAUUUGUGACUGGCGAGCUAGAGUAUGGCAGAGGGGGGUAGAAUUCCACGUGUAGCAGUGAAAUGCGUAGAGAUGUGGAGGAAUACCGAUGGCGAAGGCAGCCCCCUGGGCCAAUACUGACGCUCAUGCACGAAAGCGUGGGGAGCAAACAGGAUUAGAUACCCCGGUAGUCCCUGUCUCUUAUAC